UUUGUACUAACUGAUUGCAGUAACACCAAGAUGCGAUACAAGUAUUAUUAAAUUGUCGUAUAGUUAAUACCUACUAUAUUUCAUAUUAUACACGUUUAGUUUUAUUAAUUCAAUCAGGAACGGACUUUUUCGUUAAGUAAUUAAUGUGAAAACGACCGCAGUGUUCUACAUAGCGAUCACUGAACUUUAUUUGUGACACACGCACAACAUACUAGAUAUUUUGUGUACAACAAAACCAAUUUCGUGUGAUUAUCUUUAAAAAUAAAAAAAAAAUCCCAGACUUAUUGUAUUGUAACAAGCUGCGAUUAUCGAAACUCGUUUAAUAUAUUUAUUUUAUAAGACAACCAAGAUCUUAACAAAUGUUAUAUCACAAAUAAUAUGAAAUACAACAUAUAGUAAAAAUGGCUUGGAUCAGCUAACAUAUAACAUAUUAACAGCUUCUUCUAUAAUGGCACGUGUACAACUAUGACUAGUUCCAUUGUUAAUAUCAAAUAUAAAAAUGAUAUGAUUUUGGUAAGAAAAAAGAUCUAUGAACAAACACAGAAAUCAAGUUAUAAAAAGAAAUGUAUUGAUUCUCAAAAAUCAUUUUUAUUCUUUUGAGAGUAUCAGAAUAAUGCUACUUUUAUAUUAUAGUGGGCCACCGAGUCACUAUACGAGAAACUGUUGAAUGAUGGUAGAAGUCAUGGUAAAAUAAUAUAGUCGUAAAUCUUUAGGAGUCCUAAGUGUUUUUUUAAUUGAAGUUAUUCAUGUCCCAAUAAUUAAAUUCUGAUAUAAUCUUGCAAAAAACGCUUGACUGACUGGUAAAUUACGUACAAAAAAUUCCUAUCCAAGGCUAAACUACUAUAUGUAUAGUCGCACUAAUAUAUAGUACUAUUAUAUAUAUAAGAUACCAAAGCACGUAGCACCUUUCCACGAAAAAAAAGUCCCCAAGAAAGAAAUCUUUCCAAGUCUAGUACAAAUAUAGUUAAGUUACAAUCUAGUUUACAAUAUUUUCCUAUGAGUCAAAUAUAAUACACAUUAUAAUUAUUUGUAUGUUUUUACAUUUACAUUGGAUUUUUCAUUUUCAUUUUUACGAUAAGUUGAAUAUUGGUUAUAUUGGUAAUUAUAUAAUUUAAUUAAUUUAAAUUGAUUAGUAGUUACAUCAGUUACAUGAUUUAAGUAUGUGUUUUU